AAUCAAAUUCUCAUUAUCAAGACAUUUUCCCCAUCUCAUUUAGGAUUUUCUAUGUGUCACAUGACGCCCAGGAAUUGAAGAUCUUCAGUUACAUUGCGAGAGAUGGACAGAGCAACAUGUUCCGUUGUAAUGUCUUCAAAUCCAAGAGGAAGUCCCAGGCCAUGCGCAUUGUGCGGACAGUGGGCCAGGCCUUUGACGUGUGCCACCAGCUGACCCUGCAGCAGACAGGGGAGCAGAGCUCUGAGGAUGGACUGGACAUCAAUGCUGCCAACCCAGAUGGGGAAGACGCCGUGCCAGCCAAGACGAGGUUGGCAUUGUAUGAUUCGACCGACCUUGAAGCCACCACAGAGGAGAGCAUCGACUGUUUGUCAUCUGACCUGGACAAGACCAAAAGCCAGGACCUUCUUGGUAAAGAUGGGAAGGUACUGUAUGACCUGAGUCUUAUUCAUUACAUCACACUGUAACGAAACGUUUUGCAACAGAAAAUGUAUGUGAACACCUGCUCAUCAAACAUCUCAUUCCAAAAUCAUGGGCAUUAAUAUGGAGUUGGUCACCCCUUUGCUGCUGUAACAGCAAACUCUUCUGGGAAGGCUUUCCACUAGAUUUUGGAACAUUGCUG
rnacentral:lncRNA from 1 species